UACGGAGGGGGCUAGCGUUGUUCGGAAUUACUGGGCGUAAAGCGCGCGUAGGCGGACCUGCAAGUCGGGGGUGAAAAGCCCGAGGCUCAACCUCGGAACUGCCUUCGAUACUGCGGGUCUGGAGUCCGGGAGAGGUGAGUGGAAUUCCUAGUGUAGAGGUGAAAUUCGUAGAUAUCGUGAGGAAGACCUGUGGCGAAGGCGGGUUUCUGGACAGUUCCUGACGCUUGAGGCACGAAGGCCAGGGGAGCAAACGGG
rnacentral:rRNA from 1 species